CAGUUGGUUAGAGCGCGCGCUUGAUAAGCGUGAGGUCGGAAGUUCAAGUCUUCCCAGGCCCACCAUUUUGAUCGAGUGCGGAGCAUUCGUCUUCUGGUACGGGGCCAUAGCUCAGCUGGGAGAGCGCGUGCUUUGCAAGCAUGAGGUCGUCGGUUCGAUCCCGUCUGGCUCCACCAGAUGGUUUGAUCACCAACGGCGUUACCGUCGUCCGCGAAACAUCACUUCGCACUCAUUGGUCCGGAUGGACGGUGACGUGCGUGUUUUCUGACAUCGUAAAGAGGAGAUCGAUCCGAGUUUGGAUCAAGCGAAGCAAUUCGCCUGAACCAUUCAUUAUCUCCGGGAUCAUUUCGGCGCUCGCUUUCAAUCGUGAGAUUGGAUGCGGGUUGUAAAUGAUCCCUUUUAGCGAAGCUUGACCGCCUCGCUAUCGGGCCGAUCUUACGAAGCAAGCUGGUCUUUCUAGUCAAUGUCCGGCUGCGCGAUCGCAUUCAUCGAGGAUGCGCGCCUUCAGUGGCAAUUGUGCAGACAACAUUCUGCCGAGUGUGUGGACAUUGAUAAUGAGAGCAAUCAAGUGCCUUAAGGGUGUUCGGUGGAUGCCUUGGCGCUGAGAGGCGAUGAAGGACGUGCUACGCUGCGAUAAGCCGUGGGGAGCUGCGAAGAAGCUUUGAUCCGCGGAUUUCCGAAUGGGGAAGCUU
rnacentral:misc_RNA from 1 species